AAGUCGUAACAAGGUUUCCGUAGGUGAACCUGCGGAAGGAUCAUUAAAGAGUUGUCCCUGGCACCCCGUCUGGGAUGGGGUCUACGGGUGAGGCCUUGGACGUUAACCCCGGGUCCCGUCUCUUCCACCCUGUGUAUACCUUCCACGUUGCGUUGGCGGGCCUGGGUACGUCCUUCUGGGCACCCUGCCGGCGUCGGACUUCGUCCCCCGCCGGCGAGCGCCCGCCAGAGACCCUUACCAUCCUGAUUUUUUUCAAUGUCGUCUGAGCAAAAACCAAAAUAAAUAAAA
rnacentral:misc_RNA from 1 species